rnacentral:tRNA from 1 species
GGUUCAAUCCUUUCCCUAACU